GGCUUGGAAAUUAAGUCUAGGAGAAAUCUAAUUUGAGGGACAUAAGCAGCAGGCCAGAGCUCUUUACGAGCAUUAGCAUCAAAAGGAUAAAUAUACCAAGCGAAACAAAAAGUUAAAUACACAUUUUUACAAAUUAAAAUUAAUGCAAAGAUUAUUAACUAUUAUUGAAUUCUUUUAUUUUUACCUUAACUUUUGAUUUUUUUUCAGUAUCACCCAUCAGUUGGUGCAACAGUUGAGGUUCAAAGCCACAAGAUUGAAAUUUACACAGCAACCAUUACAUUCUCUGCUAAAUUUUCUGGACUCAAAUAUCUUCUUUACCACUGGCCACUUCUGAGUGGUUUAUGUGCCUUUAGUGUCAAUGUAUUGAUUCUGGCCUUGGGUUUGGCUGUCGCAGCUUAUCAGAGAACAGAAACUUUACAGAAAAUAACAGCGGCAGUGCAGAUAACAGAAAAAGCGGAAGUGACCGCGAAAAUUGAUCAGAAAACAUUUGCCUCCUCCUCAACAAUGACAG
rnacentral:sRNA from 1 species